AACCCGUGGGGCGGACGGAGCCGGCUUUCCCCGGGCAGGCGGAGCGAGGCCUGCCCGGCCCCGCCUCGGGCCGCGCUCCGCGGGCGGCGGCACGGCGGCCCCUGCCGGCCGAGGGGCGCCAUGGCCCGUCCCCACAGUACGGCCGCGGGAGGGAAGGACGGAUGGAGCGGGCGCCGAGGUGGGGCUGAGGAGCUGCCGAGAGGCCCUGGAGGCUCCCCUGGCCGGCGGCCAUAGGCAGCCCGGCCUGAGGCGCCGGGCAGCGGCAGCGAACUCGGCACAGACAUGAGGACUUGGAGGCGCUGCGAGGGCCCGGCUGGGCAGCCGCGCUCCCGCCCCCCCCCGGCCCGCAGAUGGGCAAUGGAAAAGCUGAAGAUGGUGCAAAGCUCACAGGUGAAAGUAACAGAGUAACAUGACAUGACCUCGCUUCUGAGAGCUGUAGCUUCUCCUGAAACUCUUGAGAAAUACCCAUGGCAAAGAAAUUAAAAACCACAAGUGCUGCAAAGUGAGCACCCAGCAAAAUAACUUGUCCUAUGAUACACGAGUUAAACUUCAGACCCCUGAGGAAUCACUGAAGAACUUCCCACUGUGCAUAAAACUUGAAUGCAGCAAAUUCAAUCUAGUGCAGAAGGCAUUAAUCCCUUUUCCCAUCAUCAAACUCAAAGUUCAAGAAAUCUGGAAAAGUAUCCAAACCUCAGCAUGUGCAUCUGAUUCAAUCUCUGGCUGGGACCAGAAAACAUGACUUUCAUUACCAGAAGAUUAUAGCACUGCAUCAGGGAGUGCAUGAGACUGGGAUCUUACCUUCAUCUUUCCCUAGCCUGCUGAGCAGCUCUGGGCACUUCAUUGCAUGGGACUCUGUUCCUCUGUGCUGACCUUCACGCUGUAUGACAUGGCUUCAAAGAAAUGAAUCUUUGACUUGCAAAAACUGGGGGUGGUGGUGAACAAGCAACUGGCCUCUUCUUUAGGAAUUCUGCAGUCAAAGCCAAAGACUCUUCCAAUAACUGCCCUGUCUUUAGCCCCCCAUUCCUAAACAAAUGCUGCUGUUUUGCAGGGCAGUGCCAGAGACACCUGAUGAACUACAUUGAGCCAUAAUGCAGUCCAGUAAAGGUCACAUUUCAAUGUCUGGAGUACGGGUUUUCAGCUAUCUCCUGCCAGGUGUUACUGACUCCACUCAGUGACACAAGACAACUGAAACACAACACUUGUUGUUACUCCUAUUUGACCUAAACAUUGCAAAGCAAAGACUGGCUUAUCGGCAUAAGGAUGGAAUCCAACCAGGAUAUCACUUUCCCUCUUCAAAUAUACAAAUGUCCAUGGGAGACAAUGCAUUACCAUCCACUGUGUCACAAGUUAUGAAGUUUGUUUGCUACAGAAGAAAUCAGUGGCAUCAUGAGGUCUCAAGGUCUAUAAGCAAUCAGGAUUUCCUUGCAAGAGGACACAGUUUGCACCAAUUAAGCUCCAGCGACUUGUUCACAGUGGGAAACUGCUCUGAAUUAACAGAACACGGCUGUUAUUUAUGCCCUCUCUCCUGCAUGGUAACUUCACACCUUUCUUUAUUCAUCUUCUGUCAGAAGAUGCAAGGACUAUUCUCAGCCUCACAUAAUAGUAGAUGAAGUGAGAAGGCAGCAUUAUGGUGUCUCAAAGAACCUCUACUAGUGCAGAAAAUAAUCUCUAGGCACUGUACUCUUACAUGAUCAUCAAAUGCAGCUUGAAUCACUGCACACUGAGUGGCAACAACUAUCUUGCAGAAAUGAGGACAGAGCUGAGGCUCUGUCCUCCGGAAUUUCCAAUAGCCACCAGUUUCCAUGUGAGACUUGCUCUUGAUUUUCAAAGUCUUUCCACCUCCCCCACUAAAUCAACACCCAGUUACAUCAGCCAACAGUAUCUUCAUUCAGUCUUUUUGAUACACAGAAGCUUAUGAAAUUUAAGAGAAGCUAUACAGAAAGCAUUCAGGUUUACGAGGGUGUGUUCUCAGUAUUCACUUUUAGAGAUCUGAUGUCUGAGCUAUUCUCCUCCACUAGGGGCACAGAAAAAAAAUAAAACCUUUCCUCUGAGAAUUAAGUCAGCAAAGUAUCUUGGCAAUUUGGGAACAAUGCUAUUACUAGGCAAAUUCUUUGCUAAGAAAGAGUGGAGAAUGUAUCUUCAAAUAAGCUGAUGUUUAUUGAUAAAAUAGGGGAAGCACCUUUCAGCUCAAGACAGCAAGGCAUGGAAAGGUAUGACACUCUCAAAGCA